rnacentral:rRNA from 1 species
UACAGAGACUGCAAGCGUUAUUCGGAUUCACUGGGCGUAAAGGGUGCGCAGGCGGCCGUGUGUGUCAGGUGUGAAAGCCCGGGGCUUAACCCCGGAAUUGCGCCUGAAACUACAUGGCUAGAGCAUUGGAGAGGGUAGCGGAAUUCACGGUGUAGCAGUGAAAUGCGUAGAUAUCGUGAGGAACACCAGAGGCGAAGGCGGCUACCUGGACAAUUGCUGACGCUCAGGCACGAAAGCGUGGGGAGCGAUCCGG